GUUGUUUAUUGGUUCACCAAUCUACUAGGCUUUGAAUUUCUUGGUUAUUGUUUUGUUUUUAAGUGCAUGCUAGCAUGAUUCCGCCUUUAAUUGUUAAUUGCAUGCUUAUUGAUGUUGCUUAAAUGAACAUGUUUUCACAAAAUAUUCCUUCAAGUGGUAUCAGAGCCUAGGUCUAGUAGUUGGUGAAUCCUUUUAGGUUUUGUGGUUCAUAGUUUGUGAUUUAAAAGUUGUAAUUGUUACAAGCUUUAUUCUUGUUUCUUUGAAUGUAAAUUUUGUUAGAAAAUUUGCCAUCUCAAAUGUUGUAGAUGUAGUUCAUAUGAGCAUGAAUAUUGGGGCUAAAAUUUGGUGCCAUGACUUUGGGAAUUUUCGGCCAAAUACAAAGGGUGGAUUUUUGGGUUCUUGUUUGACUUGUUAAAAGUGUUUUCAAGUGACUUUUGGAACCCCUAUGUACCCUAGUUUGGUUAGAUGUUAUUUCCCUAAAGCUUGAAUGGUUUUGGAAUGUUUUUGGGUGGAAAAAGUUCAUGGAAAAAUUUUGGGUUUUUCAUGAAUGUUCUUCAUUGUUCUUGAUAUUUUUGCCAAGAACAAAAAGGUUUGUGUUUUGAUUCAAAGUUUUGAUUAAUUUCAUAAAGUCUUUGUUUUGUGUUGAUUGGUGUGAAAUAUCUAUCAUCAAAACUUUUUUAGUUUUUGAAAGGUGAUAGAAAUUGUGAUGGGUGUGUAAGACUUACACACCUUACACACCACAUGCAUGGUUUAAUGAUUUACACCAACCAAAAACCACUUGCAAGGCUUUAUGAAUUUGUUAAAAGAAAAAAUUUUCAAAAUUUUUUGUGGACUAACACUCCAAAACCGGCCAC
rnacentral:lncRNA from 1 species